rnacentral:misc_RNA from 1 species
UGUAAACCUGCGUUUACACAGUAAAAAACAUUGUAAGAUAGCAUGUGUAAACUUACUAUUAAUUAAUGUAGUUUUGUUUGGUGUUUGAAAUUAUGACACCGAGAGAGUUAGGCUCGUAUAUAAAAUUAAGUUUUAAUGAGUAUAGAUAUGGCAGAACCAGUAUUGGUCGAAGAAAGCGUGCCUUCAAAACUUUCAACUGUCCUGAAAGAGUUUAUCGAAUGUUUACCAAAGAAUAUAAUUCAUCAUGACUAUUUGAUGGCUCUGGUUAUCGUGCUCCUCUCCGAAGUGGGGUUUCGUGUCGACAUGCCGCAAGAGGAAGUCGAGGAAUCCAGAUGGUGUCAAUAUUCUAGCCGGCUCCUGAGAGACUGGAAAUCCCAGGAAUCCGGAACUUAUCGCAUUAACUUUCAUCUGCAUUCCAUUCCCACGUUGCGCUGUAGAUUCGUGGCCACCCCCAAUGGCGACGUUUUGAUCUUGAACUUCCUUCCAUCUGAAACAUCGAAUAUUGGUCGCAGCAUGGCUGUGCAAACUCUUAAAUAUGUAAAUCCAUAUUCCAGUGAUAUAAACGACAGGUUUUUGAACCUUAAGGAGUUCUCGCAAAGAUUAAAAAAUCAGCUGGCUACUCCGAUUCUAGUGUAUUUAUUAACCGAAGUAGGAUUGCCAUCGCCGAGUCUUUUGGGCCUUCCAGUGGAGUUGAAGUUACGGAUUUUGAGUUUUCUGGACAAACGCAGUAUCGGCAGACUAGCACGAACAUGUAAAGAAUUUCGUGACUUGUCUCAGAAUCAUGCCGUACGAUGACAAUCGUUAAGUUACGAAUAUCCAAUGCAGACGGUUAAUUAUUACGCCGCAAGUAUUUUGAAAUCGUUUACUACAGACUCGUCACCGUCGCCAAAAGAUGUCCAAUGAGCAAGACCGGAUUGCCACUCAAGAACGGGAUCGAGAGCGAAAUUAAAAGAUGUAAGCCGCCAAUAAAAUUAAAUGUCCUCACUGUGUAUAUAUAUAAUAUAUAUGUAAGUAUAUCCUCCCAUUCUCGCUGGAACCUUAAUAGUCUUAAUUAUAUUAUGUACAACCAUCCACUUGUACUUGUGACCAUAGAUCGAUUUGUUUUGCGUUCGGUGGACAUAUAACGUCAUUCUUCUUUAACUUGCAAACAUAAUGAAAAAUAAUCCAUUUCGUGGCAAGUGAUAACUUUGAAGUACGCUCUUUAGACAUAAUAACGAAGAUCCCUAGUCCGUACCAAAACAGUGAAUUUUGCUCUCCUCAAAUGAUUUCCAACGCAUCGUUCAGAUCAUGUACAAGACUAGAUUUGAAGGCAGCCGCGAUAAUCCGGUAUUGCCAUUAACAAACUUUUGCGCCCAGUACGCAUAUGUGACAAAGAAUUGAGAACGUUUCGAUAGUCCGUUGAAAUCUAGAAUCCUGAGCUAUAAUAUAAAAAAGCCGAUCCCUCGAGAGACAGUCGCCUCCGAGGAACAGAGUUCCAUUACGAUCCGUAAACUAAUUCCCGUUCUCGAGAAGAGCUCCCACACGUAAUUCUGGCACACACGCUAUGCACACUUAACCUUAAACUCGCUCGCGAAGAUUCGGCCGAACCUCGGCAAUUUUGCGGGGAAUCGUUCCGAAUUCCCUGAGCGGUUUGCCAGGAUCACAUUUACAAAAGCGUCCCUAUAUCCAUUAAGGGAGUCGGGUCGGUGAAGUGCAAUUUAAGCCGAGCUCAAAAGAGAAUGAAAAGACAUAGGAAACGUUUGGAUGUAGCUUUUCGAUUUCUCAUAACCUCACUUUGAUCGAGGCACCUCACAACGGACCGACUCCCUUAAGAUUCGCGGAUCGCUCCACGCUAUUGCCACGUAUUUUCCCUGGCGAGGUCGAAAAUACGACUUUAUACACAUAUGUAUAUUCCAGCAGAGCCGGGGCCUUCGACAAUUUGCGACAAUUGCGACCGUUGCAAAUAAUACUCGUCCGAGCAGGAGGCGAACUUUUCGUCGCCGUUCAAAAUGAUAAAGGGAUCCUCAUUCGCCCCUCAAUUUCCCCACAAGGGGAAGCCGGGUGUUUCUUUCUCUCUUUCUCAUUGCAACACCAUGCAAUCGCCGUUCAUAGACAUACUACUCCCUUUAAUCUCUAUUAUAUACAAAAGCAAAUCGCGCUCUCCCUCGUCCACCGCGCGGUACCUCGAUUUCUCUCUCUGCUUUGUGCCUUAAACUCUAACAUCAUAUGUCUCGUGUAUAAACAAUUUCAUAGAAAAUUUAUGUGAUUAAAACAACGUAAGUAAUGAUAAUUACUUCUGAGCACGAUAAACAAGUUUGUACAAUUUAUUAUGCGCGUCCUAAAUAGUCUUACAGCUAUGCGUGACACGGAACGCUUUUGUCGGAUCCGGAGAUAUAUGUAGGUUUACGGAUUGUAAUUCUUACGUUGUCGCCCCUCGGCGCGAACAACCGCAACACUCGCCUACUUUCUUCCCUCCAUUCGCGAAGUCUCCCCCAGACUUGUUAUCGCCUUCCUUAGUUGCGUGCUCGACAGCCGAUAACUAAUUACAGAGACUCGUCGAGAACCGAAACGCCGGAUGGCUCUUGGCCAUCGUUUUAAGGGGGUGAAUAGAUUAUGAGAUAAAUUUUAAUCAAUCGGUUUAAAUUAAAAAAAAAAAAAAAUUAAAAGGUACAGGGAACAGUUCCUUACGAGGCUGAUUUACUUCACGUUCUAUGGAGAAUUUAAGAUAGAAGUUUCGAUGCGAUUCAAAAUGGCGGACGCGGGGCUGGAAAAUUCUGAUAUAUAUUUUUUUUCUCUCCACGGUGUAUCUACUGACCCCCUUAAGCUAUCGAGCAUCGCCAAUCGCACACAUCAAUCCAUACAAGCCUCUCGUUAUACGCUUAUGUAUGUACGCACU